GGAGAGAUGGCUCAGUGGAUAUGAGCAUGGACUGAUCUUCCAGAGGACUUGGGUUCAAUUCCCAGCACUCCC
rnacentral:tRNA from 1 species